AGCAUUUGUACCCAUUCAUCCAUGGGUGGGGAUUUGUUGCAUUACUUGUGCUUAUAUAUAAAGUAUUGCACUUGUCCCGGCCUGUGGAAGAAACGAGGAUUUUAUCGUC
rnacentral:pre_miRNA from 1 species